rnacentral:rRNA from 1 species
ACCGGGAUUGCCUUAGUAACGGCGAGUGAAGCGGCAAAAGCUCAAAUUUGAAAUCUGGUACCUUCGGUGCCCGAGUUGUAAUUUGGAGAGGGCAACUUUGGGGCCGUUCCUUGUCUAUGUUCCUUGGAACAGGACGUCAUAGAGGGUGAGAAUCCCGUGUGGCGAGGAGUGCGGUUCUUUGUAAAGUGCCUUCGAAGAGUCGAGUUGUUUGGGAAUGCAGCUCUAAGUGGGUGGUAAAUUCCAUCUAAAGCUAAAUAUUGGCGAGAGACCGAUAGCGAACAAGUACAGUGAUGGAAAGAUGAAAAGAACUUUGAAAAGAGAGUGAAAAAGUACGUGAAAUUGUUGAAAGGGAAGGGCAUUUGAUCAGACAUGGUGUUUUGUGCCCUCUGCUCCUUGUGGGUAGGGGAAUCUCGCAUUUCACUGGGCCAGCAUCAGUUUUGGUGGCAGGAUAAAUCCAUAGGAAUGUAGCUUGCCUCGGUAAGUAUUAUAGCCUGUGGGAAUACUGCCAGCUGGGACUGAGGACUGCGACGUAAGUCAAGGAUGCUGGCAUAAUGGUUAUAUGCCGCCCGUCUUGAAACACGGACCUCCUGUGUGAAGUG